UGUGGUAUUUUAAUAGUUAAUUCCUCACAUUUUGCUUAGUUAAUUCCUUAACGAAUCGAUUUUUAACUCAAUUUCUAUUUUCUUAGGUACAUUGGAGUAAAUGAUGGUGAAAUGAGCAUUAGGUCCACACUUACCUAUAAAUGGUGGAGAAAAAUGGAAAUGUACUAAAAUGUCAAUUUUACACAUUUUCCUACUCCGGCUAGGAGAAACCAAGCCAAGCAAGGAAGAAGGAGCGGCCGCCGGACCAAAUGAACUUCAAAUGAGCUGAAACUUUCCAGAUCCAUUCUAGACAGCCCAAGGAUCAUUUCUUAUGAAGAGUGCAAGAACUUUUGUUGAGUGGAAGGCCUUCAAACAAUCAGCCCAAUUUUCUACAGAAGCAAAACUGGAAAACUGGACCUGUAAGAGGUCCAGCAGCAUUUUCGGCCCAACCACAUGGAAUAAAAAUCUGAAAUUUUACCAGGGUGAUCUACACUCAUAAUGGAACAUUUUUUAUGAAGAGGUCAUAGUGAAAUUGGGAAUGCUUGUUGGAGAAAUAAUUGAAGGAAUAAAGGGGCAGAAACUGAUCUAAAAAACAGCUCAACAUCACAUGUUCAUGUUUCCUACCCACAUGAAGAAAGCUAGAUGCUUUUCUCUUUUUCCUUGGAUAUAUUUUUCUGCUCCAAUAGAUCAUCAUCACUUCCAUACUUCUGCACAUUCAUGCCUUGCUUUCAUUUCAUCAUUACUCCAUCUUUUCCAUAUUUUACAAACCACUAUCAUUAUUUUUCUUCCAUUUAUCAUUUCACUCUUCUUUUUCUUCCCUAUAUAAACACCUUCUCCUCUCACUCUAAAAAAUAUUCCUUCAUCCAUUUCAUCUUCUUUGUCUCUCCAUUUCCAUUCCAUUUUUCUCUCCAUUCUCUAGUUGCAAAAUUCUGCGUUUUCAAGUAAGAAGAAGAAGAAGAAGAAGGAGCCGGGAAUAUCAUAUCCUCCAUCGUCCACCUUGAAGGCUUGCUUCCAAGAUUCAAGAUUUCAACGUUUCAAGCACUCCAUCUCCAUCUCCAACUCACGGUGUGUACCCUCAAUCCCCGGAAUAGAACGAUCCCUAUUUGCUUAUACUACUAACGAUGUUUUCAGGGUUAAAUUAUGCGCUUGCUUUGAGCGUAUCAAUUUUUGGCGCCGUUGCCGGGGAUUGAAAAAUCACUUGUUUUUGUUUAUAAUUGUUGUAUAUAAACUGUUUGAUACUUAGUUUAAAUUAACUAGGUUGUUUUUUUUAUUGUUGAAUACGAGUUUAAUUGUGAGUUGUAAAUUAAAGAAGGAAUAGGUGAAGUCGUGUUUAUUAAUAUUGGCCUAAACCCCUUAUUGGUACCUAGUUCAGGUCCCUUAAGGUUGAGGGCGGCCUUUAUUAACAUUCAUUGAACUGUCUAACACACUUAGGACCUUUUACAUCCUAGUAAGAAUAUCCUAUGUGAGAUGGUGUCUAGGAAGGGGACAACGUUCAUGACGGGUUUUUGAAUCCAGAAGUGCUUAUAAAUGGGCUUAGCUCAUGCCAAAAUGGAUUUUUCCUCUCGUGUUCACCCUCCCCUACCUGGCCAUUUCAGUAAGGUUGCCCAACGGAUGUAGGAGGGACUUUGUGUCUAGACGACUAUACUUGGGCCGCACGUCCACUUGAUUUACCGCUUGGAAUUAGAUUUGAUAUCAAUAAUGUUUAUAACAAAAGAAAUACUUGUGCAUACUCUUUACGUGUAAAUUAUUUUGUUGUUUCACACUUUAUACUUGUAAAAAAUUUUUUUACGUUUUAUACUCACUUGUGUACUUAACUUGUGUCUUAUGUACAAAAUACUUGUUAAUUAUACUUGUAGUUUGUAAUUCAUAGUUACUUGUUUAUUUUUUUUUUUUGUAUUUCUUUGUUAAUAUUAAGUUACUAACUUUAUUUAAUGUAGGUACCGUCUGGCUGCAAGACGUAAAAUACAAGCGCUGCUUGGGAGGCAACCCAAUUCAGAAUAUAAUCAGAUUUGCUUUCUCUUCCCCUUUUACUCCUCCAUUUUCUUUUUGUUUUAGUAGUUAUUUUCGUAAAUUCCAUCACUAUAUGCUUACUUAUUUCAUUGCAUGCUUUUAAUUGAUUACAUUGAGGAUAAUGCAAUAUUUAAGUGUGGGGGAAGGGAUUUAUAUUUUUGUCUUUCAUUUUGAAUCCUAUAAAUAUUUUUGUCUUUCAUUUUGUGUCCUAUAAAUAUUUUUGAGUCCUAUAUUUUUAAUAAUAAAAAAAAAAAUAAAAAUAAAUAAAAAUAAAAUAAAAAUAAAAAUAAAAUAAAAUGCAUUCAUUCAGUCUUAUUAAAUUCAGCUUUUUACAAAAAAAAAAAAAAAUAAUAAUAAUAAAAAAAAUUAAAAAAAUAAUAAUAAUAAAAAAAAAAAAAAAAAAAAUGCAUUCAUUCAGUCUUAUUAAUUUCAGCUAUUUACAAAAAAAAAAAAAAAAAAAAAAAAAUAAAUAAUAAUAAUAAUAAUAAAAAAAAAAAAUAAUAAUAAUAAUAAUAAUAAUACUCUAUACUAAGCCAUGUCUGCAUCUCUGUAGGAGUUGAGGCUGAGCUUAAGGGAAAUGUGAGAGCCACCGCCAUAACCGCUACCUCCCUCGGAAGUAGUCUUCAUGAUGCCCAAGAUGUCCUCACCAUGCAUGGGGAACAAUGGAAGGGUUUCAAUCUCCUGGUGAUCUCCUCCUCGUUGUUGCAGGGAUGUUUGUCCUCCUGUUGUGCCAAAAGAGUUGUACUGGUAUUAGUGUUGAAGUGUGAGGAAGAAUAUGAAACAAAAUUUAAAUCAAGAAAUCCUUCAUUACCAGUAGAAUCGGUGGAACCAAAGUUGAGAUUAAUGGAUCUACCAUCAUCAGUAGAACUAGUGGACCCAAAAUUGAUGUCAAUGGAUCCACCAGCUGGCCCAAAAUUGAUGUCGAUGGAUCCACCAGCACCAGUAGAACCAGCUGGCCCAAAAUUGAGAUCAAUGGAUCCACCAGUACCAGGAGAACUAGUUCCCAUGGGCACUUGAGCAGCCUGAUUGCACCUCUUCAUCUGCUUCUCUCGAGCCCUGACAUUCUGGAACCAAAAAUAAAUGUUCUUGCCCUCAACAUGUCCAUACUGGUUCAGCUGGAGACAGAUCUCGUGAAUAUGCUCUGUAGUUGGGCGCUUAACUCCCUUGUCGUAGUAAAGAUCCUUGAGGAUCCUUAUUUGAUCUGGAGUAGGAACCCACCUGGCACGGCUUCGCCAGAAAUCUGUGUUGGCACUACUCCCGACUACUUGGUUGUUUCCUCCAUCCUCGAUUUGUUGCUGGGUUUGUAGCUCCAUCAGUUGCAGAGUUCGUGGUUCCAUGGUGAUGGGUUGAGGGGAUGUGAAGAUCGAAGAGUAAAGUUGUCAAGUGUUUGAAGGAGUUGUUGUUAAAGGGAUUAAGGAUGAUGAUGGUGUGUUGGAGAUCUGAAAGUUCAGAGGAAAGAUGGGAUUGAAUCAACUAGAUGGGAGAGAAGAUCAGAAGAGAAGGAUUGAAUCGAAGAAGAAAUAUUUUGAGUUUUGAAAGAAGAGGAAAGCUGAAGAGUUGGGAGAGAGGGGCUGGAACUCAGGAGAGAUUUUCGUUCCUUUGGAGUGAACAGUUGCGCCCUCAGAAUGCACCUAUUUAUAGAGCGAGGUGAGCAGAUCUCCACCGUUGGAUGGACGAUUCCUGUGAUUCAUUCUACGCGUUGGAUUAAAGUCGCCCUGAAACCCGGAAAAGUUGUUGGCGCGUGGAGAGCGUGUAAGGGGACCGAGGGAAUCUCGAGGCGCUGUGGCAGACAGCUGUAGCCGAAAGCAGAUUUGACUGCCGUAAAUCACGGAAGGGAUAAGCCGUGACACAAGUGGGCCAUACUUGGGCCUGUCUCGGAUCAAGGCAUCACUGUAGCUGUCGGUGGAGGCCUGAUGGGCCGAGUUUCAGAAACAGUUUUGGACAUGAUGGGCCGAGUUUCUGAAACAGUUUUGGAUGAGUUGGGCUGGGUUUCUGCAACAGUCUUGGAUGUUUUGUGCCGAAUUGUUGAAACAGUUGGUUUAAAUAAAAGGAUUGGUAUGGAUAAUAACGUGAGCAGCCGUGCUCGAGUGGUUGAGUGUAAAGUUCGUGUACAAGAGGUCUGAGGUUCGAACCUCGCCUCUCGUUUAUUUUUAUUAUGUUCGUUUAUGACAUAAUAAGUAUAAAAUUUGUACACAUUAUAUUAAGCACAGCUUGUGCUCCAGUGGUUGGGGACAAAGGUUUCGUGUAGCAGGUUAAGGUUUCGAACCUUGCCUCCCCCGUUUUUUUUUAUUUAUGUCACUCCAUCAGAACCCUCCUCCGAAGGCUGAAACCAGCAAGAAGGCUGCCACUCGCCCGCAUACCGCUCCUCCAAAGGAGUAAAUGGAGGUACAAGUCUAGGCUGAAAGACUUUAAACAUUAAGCGCUGCAUGGGAGGCAACCCAUUUCAACCGUAGCUGUGGAGGAGCCAUCAACGCAGAUUUGCUCUCUUAAACUCUAUCUCCUCUAUUACUAUUUUCUGAUUGUAUCUUUGUUAUUUGCGUUUUUAGUUUUUGUUUUUAGGUUUUCUUGAGUUAAUCAUUCCAUUCACAUGAUAAUUGUUCAUUGCAUGCUCUAACUUGUUUAACAUUGAGGACAAUGUAUGAUUUAAGUGUGGGGGGAAGGAUUAAUGCUUGUAGUUAGUUUUUGUCAUAAAAAGAAAACAAAACAAAAAAAUCGAAAAAUGUCAGAAAUAUAAAAAAUUUCGUUGCUUUUGUUUUUGUUUUGAGUCUUAGGAUGCCUUUCAACUGUCUGGGAUGAUUCUAUAUCUCUGAAAUCAUGACUAAAAGAGGAUCACAACAUUGAGAUGAUUUUAAACAUGGUAUUCUUUGGUUAAUUGAGAUAUAUGAAAAAUGUGUGCCUUGUAGUGGAUAUGGAUUGCAUGACCUUGGUACAGAAUAUGAGCAUGUUAAGAUGAGUUGUGAUUCAUAAAGCCAUGUGAGAUAAUUGAACCAUGUCCCUUUUUCUUGGAGUGAAAUGAAAAAUAUAUUCUUAAUUUCUUGGCGAUGUUUUGAUGAUCUCAUUAUUCUUUCAUCUUGAUUGACUGCUUGCCAUAGAUUAAGUUUAAUGGACUAGAGAAUGCUAGAAUUCGCUCUUGUGCUUGUUGAGACGUGAUAUCAAUACAUGGCCCUGAUUCUGGAAGGGAUAGAGGUUCUCUAGGAAUUAUCACCAUUGCCAAAUAAACUUGUGUCCCCAUUUGUGCCCGUCGUGGGACCCCCCUAGAUAAGCCCCUUUGAGCCUACAUUAAGCCUUUUCGUUCAUCACCCUUAAAAUCCUUAACCAUGAAGCUUAGUAUAGUUACAACCCUACCCUUUGUUCUAAGGACUUAGUGGAGCUAUCUUUUGAGACAUACUACAUGGGUUUGGUGCUAAGGAUGAAGAUUGAGAAGAGGUGAAAGUUCAAGUGUGGGGAUAGACUUGUCCAUAAAGAAAUAGAUAUGUUGAAGCCGUGAAAAAUGAAAAGAAAAGAGAAAAAUUGUGUACGGCUAAAAAAGAAAAAGAAAGAAAAAAAAUAUAUGUUUAUGGACUUUCAUCCCCCAUACUUAGUGAUUUUGGAGUUUGCUUUGAAUUGAAGGCCCACUACAGAAAAAUUUGGCCUUUGUCCAUUUCACUAGAGUUCAAGGGAAGUUUAUAUUGAAGAUUGGGCCCAACAUGAAGACAUUUGGCCCUCUUAUAUUACCUCUAUGGAGAAGUGACGUUUUUGCAAUGCCUUGGUGAAAUAUUUCGAGAUCUCUACAUUCAUAUGAGCUCUACUAGGUUUUUAGGACACUUUGAUAAUCCUUACCUUUCAUUUCUUUAAACCUUGAGCCUUAGCCCCAUUACAACCUUUGAGAGGACCUUCUUGAUCCUUAAGAUGGGACAGCCUUUGAUGUGGAGAUGAGUUACAAGAGUUGAACCUAUGGCUUGGGUCCAUUCGUGCAAGUAGUUGAUAUCCUUCAUGAGAUCUUUUGAAAAAAAAAAAUUAUAUUCACAAAGUGCUUUUCGUUUCUUAUAUAUGUGAGCUAUUUGACUGCCUUAAAAUAUGUUCUCUCACAUAUAAAUGAGUGAUUAUAAGCUUUUAAGCAUUGCCUUGAUCUGAGAGAAGAAAAAGUGGAUAUACCUUGUGAGGAUAUGAAUCAUACUUGUCUGAAGCAUGCUAAGCUAAACCCCAAUCACCAUUAUUACAACCAAGUCCUACUUGUGUAUGUGUGGAUCAUAUGUUUUAAUUAACUCUCGAAUGCUUAACAUUGAUUCUUGAUUGAGUGCUAAUCUUGGUGUUGUGAAAGUAUGAGAUUUCUGAGACAAUAUGUUAAAGGGCAAUAGAGGUCUUUGUAAUGUCAACAUCUUGGUCUUUGUCUUUGAAUUUACUCUUUUAUGUGUGACGUUUUUUUUUUUUUCCUUUGUGUUUUGCUUUGUGUUUUACGUUUUUGGUUUCUUUGAGUCUUUGUGUUUUUGUUUCCAUACUUAGUCAUUUUUUUCGUUGGUUUCUUUGUUUUGUGUCAUAGUCUUUUUGGUUUGUUAGUUUUUGAUUUUGCUAAGGGACUAGCAAAAGCUAAGUGUGGGGGAAUUUGAUAGGAGCAUUUUAAUGUGGUAUUUUAAUAGUUAAUUCCUCACAUUUUGCUUAGUUAAUUCCUUAACGAAUCGAUUUUUAACUCAAUUUCUAUUUUCUUAGGUACAUUGGAGUAAAUGAUGGUGAAAUGAGCAUUAGGUCCACACUUACCUAUAAAUGGUGGAGAAAAAUGGAAAUGUACUAAAAUGUCAAUUUUACACAUUUUCCUACUCCGGCUAGGAGAAACCAAGCCAAGCAAGGAAGAAGGAGCGGCCGCCGGACCAAAUGAACUUCAAAUGAGCUGAAACUUUCCAGAUCCAUUCUAGACAGCCCAAGGAUCAUUUCUUAUGAAGAGUGCAAGAACUUUUGUUGAGUGGAAGGCCUUCAAACAAUCAGCCCAAUUUUCUACAGAAGCAAAACUGGAAAACUGGACCUGUAAGAGGUCCAGCAGCAUUUUCGGCCCAACCACAUGGAAUAAAAAUCUGAAAUUUUACCAGGGUGAUCUACACUCAUAAUGGAACAUUUUUUAUGAAGAGGUCAUAGUGAAAUUGGGAAUGCUUGUUGGAGAAAUAAUUGAAGGAAUAAAGGGGCAGAAACUGAUCUAAAAAACAGCUCAACAUCACAUGUUCAUGUUUCCUACCCACAUGAAGAAAGCUAGAUGCUUUUCUCUUUUUCCUUGGAUAUAUUUUUCUGCUCCAAUAGAUCAUCAUCACUUCCAUACUUCUGCACAUUCAUGCCUUGCUUUCAUUUCAUCAUUACUCCAUCUUUUCCAUAUUUUACAAACCACUAUCAUUAUUUUUCUUCCAUUUAUCAUUUCACUCUUCUUUUUCUUCCCUAUAUAAACACCUUCUCCUCUCACUCUAAAAAAUAUUCCUUCAUCCAUUUCAUCUUCUUUGUCUCUCCAUUUCCAUUCCAUUUUUCUCUCCAUUCUCUAGUUGCAAAAUUCUGCGUUUUCAAGUAAGAAGAAGAAGAAGAAGAAGGAGCCGGGAAUAUCAUAUCCUCCAUCGUCCACCUUGAAGGCUUGCUUCCAAGAUUCAAGAUUUCAACGUUUCAAGCACUCCAUCUCCAUCUCCAACUCACGGUGUGUACCCUCAAUCCCCGGAAUAGAACGAUCCCUAUUUGCUUAUACUACUAACGAUGUUUUCAGGGUUAAAUUAUGCGCUUGCUUUGAGCGUAUCAACAGACCAUA